rnacentral:lncRNA from 1 species
AUCUAACCCAUCUCGCUGCUCACUCUAUACACUGCACCUUCUCUCCACCGUUUCUCGACCUUGCUGUUCCGGUGAAGCAACUACUGAUGACGAUCGAUUCACUGUCUUCACAAAAUCGACUAGAAAAUCGAUCCCAAAGUUCCUCUUCACAAAACCGACCAGAAAAUCGAUCCCAAAGUUCCUCAGUACGUGUUUCACUGUGUUUCAUCCAUCAUUCCGUCAUCUUUUUCCUCCUCUCAAUUUUAUUUGUUGCCACUUUCAGAUCAAGCGAGCGUCGGAAGAAGACCGACUCAAAGAUUUCCCUCACUGACCCCUUUGCUUCAAUCACCGAAUUCCAGGUCUGUGUCGCUUAAUCGGAUUAACUUAUUCUCGCUGAUUGAACCCUGAGAUUUUAAAGGUUUCAAAGAUUUUUCCCUAUUUUUUUAUUUGUUUCAUUCGCAGGUUCCAAAGAUUUUGUAGGGGCUUGAAUGCCGGCUUCCAUCGGUAAGUGCUUCUUCCCUAUCUUCUAUUCCAUACUUCUCUAUCCAUUUACCAAAGGUCGAUCAUCAAUUUGGACUUUCAUUAUCUGCGCUGUAAUUUGUUUUUUGUUUUUUAAUGAUUUAGUUUCGGAAGGAGCCUUUUUUUUUGGAAUUCUGACUUAUUGAGUUAUGGCUAGGUUUACUGGGUGGGUUUCAUUUGUUGUUAUUUAGGUGACGAUUUCUAUAAAAGUUUGUUAUGGAGGUUUACAUAUUGUUAUAAUUAUCAAUUUUUGGUUGUACAUUUUGAAACUUAAAUUCCAGGACUUAUGCAGAGGGCAUAAGGUAUGUAGUGAAAAUGUUAUAUAUUUGCAUUUUUGCUUGAAUUUUUGUUGUCGGGUACAGAAUUGUUUAGAGAUUUUUUAUCCAGGAAUGAAGACCUUCCUGGAGAUUUAAACUCUGUAUGAAGGUUUUAUGAAUACUUAUUUUUGUACUUUUUUCAGGGUUAGAGGACAUUUUAAGGUGUAUAGGUGGACUGGUCGUUGAUGAGGAGUGACAGGGUGACCCUAUCAAUCCUUUCUUUGAGUUCCUUCUACCCCUCCAUACGCUCCUCCCAACUGGUUUUCUCCGACGUUUCCCCACCUGCCAGGUUUUAUUCUUAAAAUGUUUCAUGUUUGAUUUUGCUUCUUCUUUGCACAACCAACUUCAAGAUUACAGAAGGUUUAUAUAAUACGCUACAAAUGUUUUUUUAGGUAAUUUUUAAUCUUCUGUUUUUAAUUUAACCUAAUUACAAGAUGUGUGGAAUUCUAAUAUACUGCCUCUAUUUGAACUUUGAAAUCAACAAAAGGUGUUAUUUUUUUGUGUAGAACUUUCAUGUACAUGUCUUCGUUAUGAAGUAAUUGGGGUGUGUCGACAUCAAUUACAGGUAUCAUUCUUUUGUAUGUUUUUAUUUUCACAUAAUCUUCAUCUCAAUUGCACACCAAACAAGGUUUACGAAGAAACAUGGCCCUAAAACCUUAUAUUUCUCAAUCCAAUUCAUCUUUGUGAAAAUUCGAACAACAUUUUAAUUAACAGUUGGAAAGUAAUUAGAUAUUAUGUAGUCAAUUUUCCUAAUGUUGUCCAAGAUUAUGUUGGUCUUUUUCUGGGCACCAUUUACUCUGUUCCACCAUAUUGAAUGAAAAGAUUUCCUGUUGCAGCAUUUCUCAUCAUUGUUACAGUAUUUGACAUUGAUUGCGUUACUAAUUACCAUUACUAAACAUCUACCUGAUGUAGAGGAUCACCAAAAGUAAGUUUUUAAAAUAUGGAAUUUUAAUAUUUUUCCAUUUUUUUUUUAAAUUGAUUAUGAUACCGUUCUCCAGGUUUCAAAUUUCUACUUUUGCAACAUAACUUAGAGUAAGAAACACUGGUUUAUUAGAAUCCGAGCUUAUUAUGGUGAAUUACAUUGGUUCAAUAGUUGCAGCAUUCUAUUUGACUCAGGUGAACUUUUUAUAUAAAAGGAUCUAAAAUAACUUAAAAGGGCAAAAGUUUUUUUUACAUGGUCUAAGGACCAACAAAGCCAGAUAAAUUUGGUAAACAACAGGAAGUUAAACAAAGUAACAGGGAUUUCAUAUUUAUUUUUCCUAUAGUAGAAUUUAAAAUUUUGUUUUACCAUUUUAUGUUAUAAGUACGCUGCUUUUAUUAAUUUUAAUUUUAACAUGUUGAAUUUGAUUUUUUUUGCAGGCUUUGUAAAAACAAGGGUAGACAAAGAAAGCAGAUCAAGUAAGGCUCCUCAUGCCUUGCCCCUUUUCCGUUAUGUUAUUCUUUUUAGUUAUCGGUUCAAUUUUUUUAUGAGCAAGGGUGAAAUUUGUUUACACCAAUGUUUCACUUGAGAUUUUUCUAUUUUCCUUUUCUUCAAAACCUCAAAGGCAUGUUGAAAUUAGUUAGUGAUUUGUAAUUUUCCAAGAGAAUUAAAAUAUUUAUCACUUACAGAUUCAAUACAUAAAUAUAGUUAGAUGAAUUUUUAGGAAUUUUCUUGAAUUGUCACAGAAAGGGAAUCUCAUUCCUUGAGAUUGAAAUGAAAAUUUUGCAAGAUGUUUCAGAUCUUAGCAAUUGGUGAGUAGAAUUCCCACAUUGUCCUUAUCAUGAAUUUGAUCAUAUUAGAUGUCGUGUGGUGAUGUGAGAAGUAAACAAUGAAAAUAACACCGGGAACCAAAAAAAUACAUUCCG